rnacentral:misc_RNA from 1 species
GGAAUCAGACAUGAAGGAUUUGGUUUACCUUCAAGCCAUCAUCAAAGAAUCGUUUAGGUUGUAUCCUGCUGCUCCAUUAUCGGUGCCACAUGAAUCCAUAGAAGAUUGCAGUGUAGGAGGCUAUCACAUUCCAGCAGGUACACGCCUUAUUGUAAAUGUUUCAAAAAUUCAUAGAGAUUCACGAGUGUGGUUGAAUCCUUCAGAGUUUAUACCAGAGAGGUUUCUCACAACCCACAAGGAUGUUGAUGUUAAGGGCCAGAAUUUUGAGCUACUACCAUUCGGCAGUGGAAGAAGAAUUUGUCCUGGAAUCUCAUUUGCUCUUCAAGUUUUGAACCUUACACUUGCUACUUUGUUACAUUCUUUCGAAAUUGAAACUCCUUCAGGCCAACCAGUU